ensembl:lncRNA
AGGCCACUUACCUUGAGUUCCUGCUUCCGGUCAUCCCUUGGGCUGAGGUCUGAAGCAAUGAUGAAGGUCUUAGGCAUGCUAGGAGGGCUCUUCAUGCUUUUCCAGUUGAAGCAUGUUCAUGCCAACUUGGCAGCCAGGUGUACCCCAAUAUGGCUCAUGGUUAGACUGGAUCGAUGGCCUCUGGUGGAUGACCUGCAAAUCCAGCCACACGAGCUUAUUCUGGGAGAUGGCUGCCCAGUCUCCAUCAUGCUGUCUGAGUUCUUUGACUUCAAGUAUCCUUUAUCUUCAUGUGGCAUCAGGGUCUAUGAACAACCAUCAGGUAUUUUCAUUGAAACUGCAAUCAUAUAUAAUUCCGGGUAUUUAUAUCUUCCUCCGGUCUACCUCCCCGUAACAUGCUUUGUUCCAAGAAGGGUGCCAAUGAGCUUUAUAGUAAGACCCAAAGAUCCUAGCUUUAAACAAGAGGGAGCAGGACAGAUGUCGUCGCUGUCAGGUGAAAUGGAAUACCCAGGAAGACUUCUAGGUGCAUUGUCGCGGGGCAGUUGUCCCUUGCUGGGCCAUAGAAAUUUUACUACUUCCUACUACGUGGAGGCAUUUAAACUCUAAUUCUGGGGCCAUGAAGUGGUCUUAGCAACCCUGGCUGCGUCAAGUUUUCACUGCUCCUCAGAUGUUGGACAAAUGUCUACAGGGAUCACCUCUGAGCACUUUUAGAAUGACCUUUUAAAAUGAAAACUUGGUCUUCCAUCUGUAUUUAUGAAGUCUUUGUGGGGAGGACUCCUCCAGAUUUUAAAUUUGUGAUAAAGGCAAUUUUAUGGAAAUAAACGUUUGCCAUUCUCAGCGGGUAUUUGUACUGUUUGAAGACACCUCAGUCCCUCGUCACAGGGCCUCAUAUUGCAGGGGUGACUGGGCUUGGUCCUCCACAUGGCUCAGGGUGGCAGCCGGGAAGCUGGCGUACUGUGAUCGCAUUUUUCAGUUGACCCCUAUUUUACUUUCUUCAAAUGAUAUGUGGGAAAGAAAAUGCAAGCAGAACUUCCCUUUCAAUAUUUUAUUUUUAUUCUCAGG